rnacentral:rRNA from 1 species
AAAGGAAUAGACGGGGGCCCGCACAAGCGGAGGAACAUGUGGUUUAAUUCGAUGAUACGCGAGGAACCUUACCCGGGCUCGAACGGCUGUUGAAUAAAGGUGAAAGCUUUUAGUCGCAAGACAACAGUCGAGGUGCUGCAUGGUUGUCGUCAGCUCGUGCCGUGAGGUGUCGGCUUAAGUGCCAUAACGAGCGCAACCCUUACCGUCAGUUACCAGCAAGUGAUGUUGGGGACUCUGGCGGGACUGCCACCGUAAGGUGUGAGGAAGGUGGGGAUGACGUCAAAUCAGCACGGCCCUUACGUCCGGGGCGACACACGUGUUACAAUGGGAGGGACAGAAGGCCGCUACCCGGCGACGGGAUGCCAAUCCCCAAACCCUCUCCCAGUUCGGAUCGGAGUCUGCAACCCGACUCCGUGAAGCUGGAUUCGCUAGUAAUCGCGCAUCAGCCAUGGCGCGGUGAAUACGUUCCCGGGCCUUGUACACACCGCCCGU